GACGAACGCUGGCGGCCUGCUUAACACAUGCAAGUCGAACGGUAAGGCCCUUCGGGGUACACGAGUGGCGAACGGGUGAGUAACACGUGGGUGAUCUGCCCUGAACUUCGGGAUAAGCCUGGGAAACUGGGUCUAAUACCGGAUAGGACCACUGCCUGCAUGGGUGGUGGUGGAAAGCUUUUGCGGUGUGGGAUGGGCCCGCGGCCUAUCAGCUUGUUGGUGGGGUGAUGGCCUACCAAGGCGACGACGGGUAGCCGGCCUGAGAGGGUGACCGGCGACACUGGGACUGAGAUACGGCCCAGACUCCUACGGGAGGCAGCAGUGGGGAAUAUUGCACAAUGGGCGCAAGCCUGAUGCAGCGACGCCGCGUGAGGGAUGACGGCCUUCGGGUUGUAAACCUCUUUCAGCACCGACGAAGCGCAAGUGACGGUAGGUGCAGAAGAAGGACCGGCCAACUACGUGCCAGCCGCCGCAGUAA
rnacentral:rRNA from 1 species